rnacentral:lncRNA from 1 species
CAGAGAGAAAGCAAAUGCAGAUGUUGAGGAAAGGAUAGUUGUUUCCUUAAGUCAUGACAAAUGAUGUCACUUCAAGUAUUAAUAUGACAUAUAACUCCUGUAAACUACUUUACCAGCUUGGGAUACAGAUAUGCCAUCACCUCUAACAUCCUCAGAUUAUCAUUUGCAUCCCCUGAAUUGUUUGUGGAAAACACAGAAUUCUUUUUAAGACCUCUCCUACCCUAACACCACAUCCAAUUGCUAAAAGGGGGUAAGGCCCUGGGAGUCUACGCUCUGCUAGUUUGGGGUGAGGAGGGGCAGUUGCAGUCCUGCCUUAAAUACAAGCUUCUGGGUCUUUCCUGCUUUUUGUUGCCUCAUAAUAUCACUUUAAAGGACUGUCCUGUGCUGUCUUGCAAAAGUGAGUCACUGUGUGGUAAUGUUCCACCGAAGUCCCUGAUGGUGACUUACACUUGUGGCGCGAUCUUGGCUCACCGCAACCUCCGCCUCCUGGGUUCAGGCAAUUCUCCUGCCUCAGCCUCCUGAGUAGCUGGGAUUACAGGCAUGCACCACUAUGCCCAGCUAAUUUUUUGUAUUUUUAGUUGAGACGGGGUUUCACCAUGUUGACCAGGAUGGUCUCGAUCUCUUGACCUCGUGAUCCACCCGCCUCAGCCUCCCAAAGUGCUGGGAUUACAGGCUUGAGCCACUGCGCCCGGCCCUCCCCAGGUCUCUUGUCUUUCCCUUUCUUAUUCCAGAAGUCACACUUCUUUCUAGAAAAUUUCCUUAAAAUAUUUGGCUGAUGUCCAUUGCAUACAAAGUAAAUUUAAACUGCUCCGUUUGAUAUUUAACACCUUGGCUCCAACUUAUUUGCCUCGUUUUAUUCUACCACUCCAACAGACUCUGAUCUUGCCAUGCUCUCUGUUUGAUAGUUCCUGAAAACAUAUACUGUACAUUUUCUGCAUUCUUUGUUCAAAUUAUGUUUUAUGUCUAGAAAGCUACCCCCUUACCCCCAGUAUACUGCAUCUGAAUGCUCCAGUGGAACACAAAAUCUUGGCAGGUAAUUAGAUCUCACACAACUCUGCCCUUCCCCGAUCCUAACACAGGGCUGUGCAUACAGAAGCAAAUCAGUAAAUGUUUAAGUUGAACUCCAAAAAAAUGAACAGAAAGAAUGUAAACAUAAAGAGCAAAAGCAUCUGCUAUAGUAUUAUAUUUUACGUCAAGAAAUGACAAUUUUCACUUUUUAAGAAGAGGCUAAUCAAUAACAGCAGUCGUCAAUUCAGGUAAAUGUACUUAAAUUGGUAUAAUGUUAAGCUUUAUAACCAUUUAGUAUGACAAACUCAGGCAAAGCUAAUUUCAACCUGGAUGAAUAUUUCCAUUUCAGAGUUUAAUUCAAUCAAGUAAAGUAAAUAAUCAGUAACAUCUGCUUUGUCUCAAGAAACGUCUUGAUCACUGAACUAGCUUUAAUGAGAUAAGCGACUAACUGUAUUACUCCUCUAACACAUGGCAUGGACGGAAUGGGCUCCAGAAACGAAUGAUGUGCUUUAGUGUAAGAAAACACAUAGUGUGCAAUGUUAAUUCAACCGUCUGAGAAUCUGGAGAUGGCAUUUAUAUUAAAGGCAUGACAUAUCCCUCUUUUAAUUAGCCUCAAAUUUUCUU